rnacentral:rRNA from 1 species
GAUCAUGGCUCAGGAUGAACGCUAGCGGCAGGCCUAACACAUGCAAGUCGAGGGGGUAGAGUUCUUCGGGACUUGAGACCGGCGCACGGGUGCGUAACGCGUAUGCAAUCUACCUUAUACAGGGGAAUAGCCCAGAGAAAUUUGGAUUAAUGCCCCAUAGUGUUAUCGAAUCGCAUGGUUUGAUAACUAAAGUUCCAACGGUAUAAGAUGAGCAUGCGUCCCAUUAGCUAGAUGGUAAGGUAACGGCUUACCAUGGCGACGAUGGGUAGGGGUCCUGAGAGGGAGAUCCCCCACACUGGUACUGAGACACGGACCAGACUCCUACGGGAGGCAGCAGUGGGGAAUUUUGGACAAUGGGGGAAACCCUGAUCCAGCAAUGCCGCGUGAGUGAAGAAGGCCUUCGGGUUGUAAAGCUCUUUUGUCAGGGAAGAAACACCGGCUCUAACACAGUCCGGGAAUGACGGUACCUGAAGAAUAAGCACCGGCUAACUACGUG